GGCCGCGAAUUCACUAGUGAUUAGAGUUUGAUCAUGGCUCAGUAAACUCAAAUGAAUUGACGGGGAAUCGAAUUCCCGCGGCCGCCAUGGCGGCCGGGAGCAUGCGACGUCGGGCCCAAUUCGCCCUAUAGUGAGUCGUAUUAAACGCUAUGUGGAUCGCAUGGUUCAUAUAGGAAAGGUAGCUUCGGCCAUCCGGCGAGGGAUGAGCCCGCGGUACAUUAGCUAGUUGGUGGGGUAACGGCCUACCAAGGCGGCGAUGUAUAGCUGGUCUGAGAGGAUGAUCAGCCACACUGGGACUGAGACACGGCCCAGACUCCUACGGGAGGCAGCAGUCGGGAAUCUUGCACAAUGGGCGAAAGCCUGAUGCAGCAACACCGUGUGAGCGAUGAAGGCCCUAGGGUCGUAAAGCUCUGUUGUUGGGGACGAAGGGCGAAGGGUUAAUAGCCCCUAGCUUGACGGUACCUUUCGAGGAAGCUCCGGCUAACUACGUGCCAGCAGCCGCGGUAAUACGUAGGGAGCGAGCGUUGUCCGGAAUUAUUGGGCGUAAAGAGCGUGUAGGCGGUUCGGUAAGUCUGUCGUGAAAACCUGGGGCUCAACCCUGGGCGUGCGAUGGAUACUGCCGGGCUAGAGGAUGGUAGAGGCCAGUGGAAUUCCCGGUGUAGCGGUGAAAUGCGCAGAUAUCGGGAGGAACACCAGUAGCGAAGGCGGCUGGCUGGGCCAUACCUGACGCUGAGACGCGAAAGCGUGGGGAGCGAACAGGAUUAGAUACCCUGGUAGUCCACGCCGUAAACGAUGAACACUAGGUGUUGGUGGAGUCGAAUCCGUCGGUGCCGCAGUUAACGCGUUAAGUGUUCCGCCUGGGGAGUACGGCGGCAAGGCUAAACUCAAAGAAUUGACGGGGGACCCGCACAGCAGGCGGAGCAUGUUCUUUAAUUCGAUGGCAACGCGAAGAAC
rnacentral:rRNA from 1 species